GGAUGCGAUCAUACCAGACACUAAAGCACCGGAUCCCAUCAGAACUCCAAAGUUAAGCGUGCUUGGGCGAGAGUAGUACUAGGAUGGGUGACCUCCUAGGAAGUCCUCGUGUUGCAUUCC
rnacentral:rRNA from 1 species